UCCUAGGACCAGCCCUGGAGGGAAUUCCACGCUAUGGCAGGCCAACUGCAGAGACCAACAUCCUCUCUUCCUACAGAGCAAGGGAAGCAGAGGCAGCAGGGAAAUCACCCCCACCACCUCCUCCUGGCGUGACUAGCUUGAAGGGGACGCCGCAGAGUGCGGCCUGAGACCCCACAAAUUCAUUUCCUAGGAGCUGCUGGUCACGCAGCUUGUUAGACAGCAACGGCUUUCAAUGGCUAGAACCUGCCAGGCUGCAUCAGACGCGUGGGCCCACCUAGCGCAGUGUCUUGCCUUCGACUUUGAGCAGCCCCAGGAAAUUCCCAAGGAAGGAAUAUCUCCUGCCCGGAGGGAGAGCAUCUCUCACCCUCCGGACUCCGUCCUGACAAAGCAGCGGCUUGGAUUCCCACCAGUGACCUAGACAGGAAAGGCUCAGUAACCUUCCCAGUCCCCGUCAACUCAUCCAGUCCCCUCCCCUCCUAAAAUUAAAGUUCUCAGCAGCACACGAUGAGCAAAUUAAUGCAAAUUGUAAGGUACCGUACAGCCAGUGUAACCAGAGAGGCACAAAGGGCAUAAUUAGAGCAGCAGCCGAGAUUAUGAAGGUUGUAACAUCGGGGCUUUGUGGGACUAAUGGAAAUUGGACCCGUGCAUUAAGGCAGUAAUCACUAGCCAGGUUUACACGGGUCCCCUCGGUGCCCGGGCAUUUCUUAUUGAUGUUAUUGUUUAUUCAUUGCACUCAUUUCGAAAGCACCCGUCACCGGAUGACGUGGGCACUCCUAGACGGACGCAGACGUGAGAUGUAGCAGCGUCCCCCCGAUGCUGCUGGUCUGAGGGAUUUUUGCCCCCACUCCGCUUUGUUCCCGCAUCACCACCCUAAUUCCAUGCAAUGCUCUGCUAUUAACGUGUGCCGCUGACUUGCCACCCAGGCUGUCUCAGACAGAAGGAGGGGGCCAGGAUUUUCAGCACCAGAGCUGGUCAGGAUUGUUUGGACAUCAGAAAAUGCUGGUUUGUUGAAACCCAGUCUGGUCACGGGAACGUCCUAGGUUCAACCCCACUUCGGUGAGGAAGGCUUCACGGGGCCAGGAUGGAAUUUCUGGUCAAAACCAGAGAGAGACCAAUCAACAGCCCUGCUGGCACAUUGGACAGCCAGGUUUGGGUCGCUGUUCCCAAUCACACGAAGCAGGGACUUGCACCUGGUUUCCUACCUUGCAGCUUGUCCCACAACGCACCUAUUUCCAGCGAUCCAAAAUGCAACAGACCAGGAGCUCCUAGCCUCUAAGGGAAGAAAUCCAACCUCACACCUGGACAUCUGAGCCUUCCUCUCGCCCGUGCUAGGAACGACUCGUUCAAAUAAAGAACAUGCCUGCAACA